rnacentral:rRNA from 1 species
GACGAACGCUGGCGGCGUGCUUAACACGUGCAAGUCGAACGGAAAGGCCCUGCUUUUGUGGGGUGCUCGAGUGGCGAACGGGUGAGUAACACGUGAGUAACCUGCCCUUGACUUUGGGAUAACUUCAGGAAACUGGGGCUAAUACCGGAUAGGAGCUCCUGCUGCAUGGUGGGGGUUGGAAAGUUUCGGCGGUUGGGGAUGGACUCGCGGCUUAUCAGCUUGUUGGUGGGGUAGUGGCUUACCAAGGCUUUGACGGGUAGCCGGCCUGAGGGGGUGACCGGCCACAUUGGGACUGAGAUACGGCCCAGACUCCUACGGGAGGCAGCAGUGGGGAAUAUUGCACAAUGGGCGGAAGCCUGAUGCAGCAACGCCGCGUGCGGGAUGGCGGCCUUCGGGUUGUAAACCGCUUUCGCCUGUGACGAAGCGUGAGUGACGGUAAUGGGUAAAGAAGCACCGGCUAACUACGUGCCAGCAGCCGCGGUGAUACGUAGGGUGCGAGCGUUGUCCGGAUUUAUUGGGCGUAAAGGGCUCGUAGGUGGUUGAUCGCGUCGGAAGUGUAAUCUUGGGGCUUAACCCUGAGCGUGCUUUCGAUACGGGUUGACUUGAGGAAGGUAGGGGAGAAUGGAAUUCCUGGUGGAGCGGUGGAAUGCGCAGAUAUCAGGAGGAACACCAGUGGCGAAGGCGGUUCUCUGGGCCUUUCCUGACGCUGAGGAGCGAAAGCGUGGGGAGCGAACAGGCUUAGAUACCCUGGUAGUCCACGCUGUAAACGGUGGGUACUAGGUGUGGGGUCCAUUCCACGGGUUCCGUGCCGUAGCUAACGCUUUAAGUACCCCGCCUGGGGAGUACGGCCGCAAGGCUAAAACUCAAAGGAAUUGACGGGGCCCCGCACAAGCGGCGGAGCAUGCGGAUUAAUUCGAUGCAACGCGUAGAACCUUACCUGGGUUUGACAUGGAUCGGGAGUGCUCAGAGAUGGGUGUGCCUCUUUUGGGGUCGGUUCACAGGUGGUGCAUGGCUGUCGUCAGCUCGUGUCGUGAGAUGUUGGGUUAAGUCCCGCAACGAGCGCAACCCUUGUUCACUGUUGCCAGCACGUUAUGGUGGGGACUCAGUGGAGACCGCCGGGGUCAACUCGGAGGAAGGUGGGGAUGACGUCAAAUCAUCAUGCCCCUUAUGUCCAGGGCUUCACGCAUGCUACAAUGGCUGGUACAGAGAGUGGCGAGCCUGUGAGGGUGAGCGAAUCUCGGAAAGCCGGUCUCAGUUCGGAUUGGGGUCUGCAACUCGACCUCAUGAAGUCGGAGUCGCUAGUAAUCGCAGAUCAGCAACGCUGCGGUGAAUACGUUCCCGGGGCU